AAUGAAAGUGCAAACUAUCAUGCAGUCAACUAUACUACAGUUUGUAUGAGUUUCCAGAUUUUUCUCAUAGCCUUGGUGAGAACAGGUUUUGCAAUUAGUUUCUGCAUUACUGAAUAUGCAUUUAUUAUUAUCAUAGCAAAUUAUCUUUUGGGUUGAGAAUUAAUCUCAUAAACAAGUGCAGAAUUUUCAGUUAAAAGGUGAUGAAUAAUUAGGUAUUUAUUUAAUUUGUAUAUAAUUUUGAAAUUAUUGAACAGUUUAAUAGGAAAAUGCUUUACUUUUAACCUUAAAGUGCCUAGAGUAUUUUUUCUCCACAGUGCUGUACAGUGUUGCCAGAAGUGUUCAUAUAUACAUGUAUAUUGUUGUAUAUGGAAAGAAUUAAACUAAGUACUGAAAUGAAGAAAAAAAGGCCAAGCUAAUAAGGUUGUACAGAGAAAGAUCCAGAAUCAUGAAAUUAGAAAGUGGUAGCGAAAAUUUGUGCCAAGGUUGUAUGAUGUUAGGACACAGGUACCAGCUGUGUCACAUUACAUUGGAGGAUGUUGGAACAGGGGUGCAUUCCAAGACCUACGGAGGAUACCUGGAACCCGGUUAGUAGCAAAGCCUAUAUACAGUAGUCCCCUCCCCUCCCCAUAUCUGCAGGGAACAUGUUCCAAGCCCCAUCAUGGAUACCCAAACCACAGAUAGUAGCACUAUAUAUAAGUUGUUUUUUCAUUUACAUGAAUACCCAUGAUAAAGUUUAAUUGAUAAAUUACAUACAAUAAGUCGAGAAUUAGCACUUUUUCAAUGAUGGGAAGCACUUCACAGCUUCUCUUAGGCUUUGAAGAACUGCUGCCAUCAUAAUUUUGUGUUUUGAGGCCAUUAUUAACCCGUAAACGGUCCAAACGUAUACUAUAUACAUUUUUACCGCUAGUGCCCCAAACGUAUAUAUACGUUUUUUUUGUCAUAUAGUAUUCUACAUUGCCACGAUAAGCCUGAGUCGCCUAGACGUGAGAGAAUGGGUGUGUGCACUCACUGUGUGCCAUAUUAAAAUAAUUGGGGAUGCCUGGGUACCAUAUGCUCUCUUUUCCUAUUAAAAAAAAGAUUUCUUUUUUUUUCUCAAAAAAGUUGAGGCACUACGGUAGAGAACGUAUAUAUAUGUUUGGACCGUUUAUGGGUUAAGCAAAAUUAAAGGUUAAUUUUGGGCCAUGGUAAACAGCAGAACCAAAUCCAUGGAUACAGGGGUUCUAUAUGUAUGUAUGUAUGUAUGUAAGAAGUACAAUGCCUGCACUUUAAAGGGGAGUUUGGGAUAUUGGCUGUUUGGAGUGACAUCUAAACUGUUGUAUCUGAGUGCCUCUGCAAAGACAGUGAUUGUGUGUGAAUGAUGGUGACAGUGUUUCUUUUUUGGGUCACCUUUCCUUGGCGGGAGACAGCUGACAUGUUGAAAAAAUAUAUAUGUAUUAUGUAUGUGUAUACAUGUUGAUAAAUUAGACACAUGUGCAACUCUUGGGUAUCUUUAUUGAGGAAACGUUUCGCCACACAGUGGCUUCAUCAGUCCAAACGUAGGAGAAACUUGAAGAACAGGAGGAGAAUGAGGUAAUCAGUCCCUCAACCUUGAGUCGAUGUGUUCAGUCCAUCAAUAUCAGCGGAGAAGCAGCUUAUAAACCGUAUGGCAGGAGAGGUGCAGCAGUCAUAGGUCAUGUCACCUCUGCCAUACGGUUUAUAAGCUGCUUCUCCGCUGAUAUGCUAUAUUCUAUUCAAGAUUGAUGGACUGAACACAUCGACUCAAGGUUGAGGGACUGAUUACCUCAUUCUCCUCCUGUUCUUCAAGUUUCUCCUACGUUUGGACUAAAGAUACCCAAGAGUUGCACAUGUGUCUAAUUUAUCAACAUGUCGGUUCUCUGAACCAUUCAUCUACAUGUGUAUACAUACAUAAUACACAUGGGGCCAGGAGCUAUGACUCAACCCCUGCGACCACAAUUAGGUGAGUACGCACAUGCAAGCAUGCAUGCAUGCAUGUACAUAUUCAUUUAUGAAACCAGAGUCCCUCCAAAUUCUUGUGUAGAAUUUAUUUAUUGACCAUAUACAAAAGUUUAUUUAAUAAUUUCUUUAGACUUUAUUGUGAAUUGGAAGGAAAUCAUUUUUGGAUGUGCUGUUAUAAUUUUUAAUAACCUGAAAAUUACUAGGUUAGUAAAGAAAAUAUUAGCAUCCUUGUUACCACCAUUCAGUAAAUUAAAUUAAAAUAUUUAUUUAUAAAAUUACAGAUAUUGCUUUUGGGAUGAUGUGAUCUAAUAUAUAAAAUUGAUAUUUAUUUCGGGCAAAAAUUUAGCUAACAUUAGUUUAAGUAUAUAUUCUGUAUAUAAAAAGGUAUGUAAUAAGAGAUGAAUUGCUUAAAUGAGCCUUACAUUCUAGUCUAGUUAUUAAAGAUUAAUUCAUUAGUAUAUGUUGUUUCUAUUAAUAAAUUUAAAAAGAAAAACUUUCAUUUUACAUUUAAGGUCACCUGCCUUGGUGGGAUGCAGCCUUUUUUUUUUUUUGGGGGGGGGGGGGUAAUAGUUUCUAUGAAUGUGCAUUUGAAAUAGGUGAAAUACUGGAAAGAUCAACUUUUUUUCUUUUAAGAAGGCUUCUACGUGGGGGGCAUUAUUACAGUGGGGUACUUAUAAUUGAUUAUUUCAUAUUAAUUUAUGUCAUAUAUAGAGCAUGGUCAGUAUAGAUACAAUGGAACACUUUCUGCAUAUGCCAAUAUUCAGUCAGUUUUCUUUUUUACUUUUUCUAGUGCUUUUUAAAUUGUAUCUCUCUCUUCCAGAAGACUUGAUUUAAAAAGAAAAAAGUUCAGUCAUUAGCCUGUUCACCAGCUGGUUUGAGAUGAAAGGCACUGAUAAAUUUCUGGCUGAUUUGGUACCAUUUUUUUGGCUAGUUAUAACGCGAGUUCCAAGAAGUGUGGUGUUGAGCACUCAUGAACAUCAGUGUUAUCCCAUUUAUUAAUUCAGCUUUACUGAUGGUAAGAUUUCUAUUCAGACUAAAAUUUUUGCAGUUACUCUAAAGGGGUAUAACAAACUAAAGGCAUAAACUGUCAUAUUUUCUGACACAUAUGGCGCACGUUUUUUUUUUUUUUUUUUCCCCAAAAAAAAAAAGUCUUUGAAAAUCACCCUGCAUCUUACAUGCUCAAGGUCAGGAUCAAGGAUAGGCUUUGGAUCAUGCUUUAGCAAUUAUUUACUAACGUUACAUUACAACUGCUUGGAAACACUGUGUUAGUAAGCAGCCAAAACUCAUGCACCUUAUAUGCAGGAAAAUACAGUACGUUGUUGCAAGUAAAGUAAUUAUGGGUUUCUAAGUACCAUAAUAAAAUCAAUAUUUCUUCUCGGGAGCAUAUUUCAGUAUUACAAUUAAGGUGUUGCAUUUUAUAAUGCAGAUGAUUAAUAUUGAUAUGCUGGUUGCUUGUUAGGACACAAAGAGUGGGGUAAGAGGAUUGUUAUGCCAAAUACUGGUGUUUCCUGCAGUAAAUUCACCACCCAUUUACUGUGCAGUAAUAAAUGACUCACAAGUUUAGAACUUUUUUAUGGAUAGUAAUAUGAUUUAGUUAUUUCUUCAUAUUAUGUUUUGCAGUACUUCACAUAUGGGUGUGUUCACAUGUUUUGCAGUAAUUCACAUAUGGGUGUUUCCACAUUAUGUCCUGCAAUGCUUCAUAUAUGGGUGUAUUGUACCAGGUAUUUGAAAGAGGACAAUUACUUAGCAUUGGUGAGUACCCAUUUGUAUUUUAACAUUUGUUUUGAAUUAUGGUGAAUCUCAUAGAAUUUUUCUAGGUUUAUACAAAAGUACUUUUAAUGUGAAAAAGCUGCUUUCUCAAAUGUUCAGAAUGGUGUACCACUGUAUACUGUACAAAAUGGCAUGUUAUAAUGACUUAAGAUUUAGCACUUAGUUGUGAUUAUGAUAUAAUGACUUAAGCCUAGGAUAUCCAAACAGUGCCAAAGAGGAUUUAUUUCCACCAUUACACACAUUCAAGUUUGUAAUACAGUAGGACCCCCGUAUCUGCAGGGGAUACACUUCAGGGACCUGUUGUGGAUACUGAAACCAUGGAUAGUAGCAGACUCUGUAUAUAAGUCCAGUUACAUAUUAUGAAGUUUGAUAAAUUAUGCAUAAUAAGUGGAGAAUAAUCACUUUUUCACAGCUUCUCUUAGGCUUUGAAGAACUGCCAGCUUUUCUACUUUUGCAUUUUAGGGCCAUUAUUAUGCAAAAUUAAAAGGCAUUUUUUGGCCACAGUAAACCAUGGGUAACUGACACCACAGAUACUAAAUCAGUGGAUACGGGGUUUCUACUGUAUUUUGUGUGUGUUAUCACUUUUAAAUUUAUUGAAAAUUUAUAAUAAUUUAGUGAUUUAUAAGGUUAAUGUGCUACAAAUUUUUAUAUUCAUGGGGAAGCACUGAAACCCAUGUGGGUCAUAUAGUGCCUGGGUGGUAAUCAGGUUUGAUCCAGGGAGGGGGAGGACAGCUCCAGUACCUUGAAAAUAGACUGACAAAAAUUUUCAAUAACAUUUUUCCCCUCCAAAAAAAAGCAAUGCCUCAAAGCCUUAUGGCAGGUAAUUUUGUGCUGUUACGCUAUGCAUAAUUUGUGCAUGGCAUAUCAUUCUUAAUUAUUUGUCUUAGUGAACCGGUGUCUUUGUUUAGGGGUAUUGUAGCACCUUUGAUGCUUUCAGUAAUGUAUUUUCCAGUUGUUGUAUAGGUACACUGAUCACUUUAUUGAAUUAUGUAUGUAUUCUGUUUAGGCAUUUUGGUGAGGAAAUAGUAAAAGUUACAUAAUUUUGUCAUUAAAUAUAAACUUCGUGCUGGGAGAAUAUCGUCAACAGAAUCUUGUCAGUAUAAACAAUGUACUUGCAGAUAUGAGAUUAUAUUAGAUUAAAAAAAAGUGCAAGAAAACAAUUUUAUAUAGGGCUAGGUAUGAGUGUAAAAAAUAUAUUUGUUAUAAAUAUAAUGACUGCCUUUAUAUACUGAAUCUGUGUAAUUAAAAAUACAAUGUAACAUU